ACUUCGCCGACACGACCACGGAGGAGGCGCAGAUCCGAUCUGUGUCGAUCGCUUCUUCAUCAACAUCGGCUACGGCUUCGAUCACGCUGGCUACGGCUCCGACCACUCCAGCGAUGUCUCCGUCCAUGCCGACAAUGCGUUGCCGCUUCCCUGCUGCAAAGGGAGGCAGAUCGACGACACCGAUCUGCUCAGGCUAUUGACCAAGUUGCUUAGCACAGUUGCUUUGACCACCUGUCAUGU
rnacentral:lncRNA from 1 species